GGUCCUGUAGCUCAACUGGAUAGAGCACCUGACUACGGAUCAGGAGGUUGGGGGUUCGAACCUCUCCAGGAUCACCA
rnacentral:tRNA from 1 species